UACGAAGGGUGCAAGCGUUAAUCGGAAUUACUGGGCGUAAAGGGUGCGUAGGCGGUUUGGUAAGUCUUAUGUGAAAUCUACAGGCUCAACUUGUAGUCUGCAUGAGAAACUGCCGGGCUUGAGUAUGGGAGAGGUGAGUGGAAUUCCUGGUGUAGCGGUGAAAUGCGUAGAUAUCAGGAGGAACACCUGUGGCGAAAGCGGCUCACUGGACCAUAACUGACGCUGAUGCACGAAAGCUAGGGGAGCAAACAGG
rnacentral:rRNA from 1 species